rnacentral:rRNA from 1 species
GGGGGGGGGGGGGGGGGGGGGGGGGGGGGGGGGGGGGAGGGGGGGGGGGGGGGGGGGGGGGGGGGGUGGGGUGGGGAGCGGGUGAGUAGCACGUGAGUGGCGUGGGCGUGACGGGGGGAGAACGUCAGGAAAGGGGGGCGAGGACCGGGGAGGGGCUCUGGCGGGAUGGGGGGGGUGGGAGAGUGUGGGCGGUUGGGGAUGGACUCGCGGCUUAGCAGCUUGUGGGUGGGGGAGUGGCUUACCAAGGCUUUGACGGGUAGCCGGCCUGAGAGGGUGACCGGCCACAUUGGGACUGAGAUACGGCCCAGACUCCUACGGGAGGCAGCAGUGGGGAAUAUUGCACAAUGGGCGGAAGCCUGAUGCAGCAACGCCGCGUGCGGGAUGACGGCCUUCGGGUUGUAAACCGCUUUCGCCUGUGACGAGGCGUGAGUGACGGUAAUGGGUAAAGAAGCACCGGCUAACUACGUG